AGAAACCCUUGACUUGGUAAGAUGCCUGGGUCCAUGAUAACACAGAGUCUGUAUACAGAGAGCUAUUUAUAGAAAUCUGUUGAGGAUGACGAUAAACACAACCAUUAAUUGGAGCUCCGACUGCUUACAGACGGUGGUUCGGUCAAGUACUCCUCACAUAUACAAUGGUUGACAAAGCAGCAGAGCUUUACCACGCUGUGUGUGAAAAUAAUGCGGACAAAAUCUUAGAACUUCUGGACAGCGGGGCCAAUCCGAAUGAAUAUUAUGACGACAUGGAGAACAUCAGUUCAAGCUCAAUCCUCCAUGUCUGUUGUGGAAAAGGACAUCUCGAGUCGAUUCGGGUCCUCGUGGACAGAGGGGCCGACAUCAUGUCACGUGACAAAUGGCGGAUGUCACCACUGAUCCACGCCAUCGUGCCCCAAUUUACGGAAGUGGUUGAAUUCCUGGUAACAAGAUGCCCGGAUGUUGUCAAUAUGUGCGAUAAAUUUGGUAAAGCUCCAUUACAUUAUGCCAUUGAAUCAGACUGUGUGGCAAUGGUGAACUUGUUGAUUUGUAACGGCGCGGAUGUAAACAUUGGGACAAUGAAAGGAAUUACCCCUCUCAUGUUGUUGUGUUCUAAAUCUGACGUACAGAAUGACACAGAGAUGAUGCGUCUACUGAUAAACCACGGAGCCUUAGUUAACUUGAGGGACUUGGCGGCCAAACGCAGUGCUUUACAAGUAUAUAUCUACUAAAGGCAUACACUAAUAUCGUCAAUCAUUUUUAUUAAUGUAACGUUCGUCACAAUUUUCUGUUGUAACAUUAUUUAACGGAUUUACAGAACCUUAAGGAGGCUGGAUGGUCAAUAAAAUGCCUAUUUACUUUAAGAUUUCAAUUAUCAUGACAUUUUGGCCGGCAUAAACAAUUAGAUAUAAAUCCAAAAUAUUUUGCUCUCAAAUUUAAUAUUUAGAAUUUUCAAUAUUUUCUUAGAGGACUCUGCCCAAGGAGACUUAUACAGUAUUAAAACGAUCAUGAAUAUCCAAUCCAGCCCCUAUUUUUACACAACGCACAUUUUUCAGUAUGCCGCUCUUAAGCUGAAAGUUGAAGCGGUCCAGAUUCUGCUAGAGGCGGGCGGUGACCCCAAUACUCUGGACGGGGCCGGGAGAACUCCAAUGACUAACGUGAUCCGCCAGUGUGUGAGAGCUGACGGGACCAUCCGUACCGACGACUGUCUGACCAUUGUCUUGAUGCUACUCCACGCCGGAAGUGAUGUCAACAUGACAACCUGUGAGGAAUGCUGUCCGCUCAUGGUGGCCUCGAUUUUGAGGUGCCAGACUUUGGUCAAGUUUUUCUUGGAUCAUGGCGGGAAUCCCGGUAUUCGAUUUGCCUGUGGAAUAACUCCCAUUUUGCCAGUUUGUAACCACGACACCCAGACAAUCAGACUUUUGCUUGAAUACAACAGUCCUAUCAAUCUUCCAGGCCGUAUCGUCAGGCGGAGAGAGGAGUUCUAUUUUGAUCCCUGUGAGCUGGCCAUCCACUUGGGUUUCUUUGACGUUGUGGAACUGUUAUAUGAUUAUGGCUAUAACCUAUCGAAGUACCCUUAUCUAGUUGAUCCAAUGGGCACUAUUGAUACUCCGGCGACGCUCAAAGAAAAUACCCUAGCUUUAGGGCAGCUAUGUUCGCUAGCAUCUAACCCUCAUUCGCUGUUUAAAGUUUCAGCUCUAACUAUUCGCAAAGUUUUACAGAAGAAUUUACACGACAAAGUCAGACUGUUAUCUCUGCCAUCAUCUGUACAGGAAGACUUGCUUUGUUUAGCUGCUCACUGACAAAAAAUAAAUAAAUAAAACAAUGGUC
rnacentral:misc_RNA from 1 species